rnacentral:tRNA from 1 species
GAGGUUGUGGCUCAUUGGUAGAGCACUUGCCUAGUAUGUGUGAAGCACUGGGUUCGAUCCCCAGCACUACA